GCCUAUCCUGUAUCAGUCCAGACGACAAUUAUGUUCCUGCUGGAUCUGCCGACGGUGCUGUGUAUAUUUGGUCUAUAGCCAAAGAUGUGGAAGUCUUCUCUGGGCUUUGCAAUUCAUCAAACGCUCUUCUGCUUCCGGUGUUAUGCUCUGCUUGGAGAAAUGGACAAAUGGUAAUCCCAAUAUUGAUGACUGGGGUACUUGAGUGAUGCUGAGGAUGCCUUAUCAGUUUGCAUGACUAUUAAUGGUUGGGAGCUCAUGAGUCCUUUAGCUUUCUUUGCUGGGACAGGUCCCCAGCCUGGAUUGAGCAAUGCUGUGAUUCGGUGUUGAAGCAUCUUUCAGUCAUGCAGAAACAAAGUUCUGCUGCUACUCUAUUAAUACGCAGAUGCUAUAUGUCUCUGUCUUUCUAAAUUUACGAAUGCAUAAUAUGACUUUUCCAAAUGCUGAUGAAAAAGGUUGGUGCAUUGACAAAAGCCAUGGAACUGGAGUCUAGGAAAAUAAAGAGAGAAGCCGUAGCUAGAGAUAAAGAAGCUGCAGCAACCGAGGUGGAUGAUAACAAAAGGAACAGAACUAUAAACUCACCCACAAGGUUGUAGCUACUUUUCAAGAGCCUCAAUACCACUCUUUCCUUUUGUAUUUUGCUUCUGUAGCAGCUUCCCUUCCAAAUACUAGAAUUUUCAAGCACCUGAAUAUAUGAAUGACUUUAUUGUUUACUUCUAAUUGUUGCGGGAUAACAAAAGCAUCUUAAAAGUUUGCUUACAUGGGAUUUUAUUGAAGAUCAUGUAAUUAUUUAGCCUUUAUGAGCAAUGUGUUUUGAUUUUUUUAUCAAAAACAACACCACACAAGACAUGUAAUUGCCACCAAAAAGAAAAGAGGAGCAGACACCUAUUUGCCUUUCUGUGAUUGUAUUUGG